AUUGAUCUUUAAUGACAUCCUUUGGAACAAGAUUAUAUUACUCCUUGAGCUAGCUUUUUCAUCAAAGUACGCAGCUUUUAUAUCACAUUUGUAGUCUUUCACUCUUCUCCCAGUUGACUUUAAAAUUCAUUUUUCACAUCUUGUUGGAUAGAAGAACUUUCCCUACAAUAAAAAAGAUAAGUAACUCAGCAAAUUACAACAAUUAAUGUAAUAUUUUAAUGUCCAAAGUUUGUGCAUAAACCUUCACUUGUGCGAUUAUAUCUUUCUCGCGCAUCCUUCUUAACAUAUCUCCAAUCUUUGUGGCUUAGGGUACAUAUUCCUCCAUUUCUAGCUAUGGCCUAAAAAUUGACCCAACCACCCACCUUAUUUCCAACGGGUUGUCCUUGAGUAUUGCAAUUUAC
rnacentral:lncRNA from 1 species